GACGAACGCUGGCGGCGUGCUUAACACAUGCAAGUCGAACGGAAAGGCCUCUUUCGGGGGGUACUCGAGUGGCGAACGGGUGAGUAACACGUGAGUAACCUGCCCUUGACUUUGGGAUAACUUCAAGAAACUGGGGCUAAAACCGGAUAGGAGCUCCUGCUGCAUGGUGGGGGUUGGAAAGUUUCGGCGGUUGGGGAUGGACUCGCGGCUUAUCAGCUUGUUGGUGGGGUAGUGGCUUACCAAGGCUUUGACGGGUAGCCGGCCUGAGAGGGUGACCGGCCACAUUGGGACUGAGAUACGGCCCAGACUCCUACGGGAGGCAGCAGUGGGGAAGAUUGAACAAUGGGUGGAAGCCUGAUGCAGCAACGCCGUGUGCGGGAUGACGGCCUUCGGGUUGUAAACCGCUUUCGCUCAUGACGAAGCUUUGUGUGACGGUAGUGGGUAAAGAAGCACCGGCUAACUACGUG
rnacentral:rRNA from 1 species